rnacentral:rRNA from 1 species
CCUACGGGAGGCAGCAGUGGGGAAUAUUGGACAAUGGGGGGAACCCUGAUCCAGCGACGCCGCGUGAGUGAAGAAGUAUUUCGGUAUGUAAAGCUCUAUCAGCAGGGAAGAAAGAAAUGACGGUACCUGACUAAGAAGCCCCGGCUAACUACGUGCCAGCAGCCGCGGUAAUACGUAGGGGGCAAGCGUUAUCCGGAUUUACUGGGUGUAAAGGGAGCGUAGACGGCGAUGCAAGUCUGAAGUGAAAGGCGGGGGCCCAACCCCCGGACUGCUUUGGAAACUGUAUGGCUGGAGUGCAGGAGAGGUAAGUGGAAUUCCUAGUGUAGCGGUGAAAUGCGUAGAUAUUAGGAGGAACACCGGUGGCGAAGGCGGCCUGCUGGACUGCAACUGACGUUGAGGCCCGAAAGCGUGGGGAGCAAACAGGAUUAGAUACCCCAGUAGUC